GUGGCGAACGGGUGAGUAACACGUGAGCAAUCUGCCCUUGACUCUGGGAUAACUGCGGGAAACUGUAGCUAAUACCGGAUACUUUCCUCGCUGGGCACCCAGCGGGGAAGAAAGAAUUUCGGUCAAGGAUGAGCUCGCGGCCUAUCAGCUAGUUGGUGAGGUAAAGGCUCACCAAGGCGACGACGGGUAGCCGGCCUGAGAGGGUGACCGGCCACACUGGAACUGAGACACGGUCCAGACUCCUACGGGAGGCAGCAGUGGGGAAUAUUGCACAAUGGGCGAAAGCCUGAUGCAGCAACGCCGCGUGAGGGAUGAAGGCCUUCGGGUUGUAAACCUCUUUUAGCAGGGAAGAAGCGAAAGUGACGGUACCUGCAGAAAAAGCACCGGCUAACUACGUGCCAGCAGCCGCGGUAAUACGUAGGGUGCAAGCGUUGUCCGGAAUUAUUGGGCGUAAAGAGCUCGUAGGCGGUUUGUCACGUCUGCUGUGAAAAUCCGAGGCUCAACCUCGGACUUGCAGUGGGUACGGGCAGGCUAGAGUGCGGUAGGGGAGAAGGGAAUUCCUGGUGUAGCGGUGGAAUGCGCAGAUAUCAGGAGGAACACCAAUGGCGAAGGCACUUCUCUGGGCCGUAACUGACGCUGAGGAGCGAAAGCGUGGGGAGCGAACAGGAUUAGAUACCCUGGUAGUCCAC
rnacentral:rRNA from 1 species